CAGUUCAGCAAGGCGCUGGGAGAACUAUGACUGUGAUCAUAGUCACAUCUGCAGGAUUAAUAAUCAUCAUAAUCUUGCUUGCAAUGCUAUUUAAAUGGAAGUGCAAACGAUCUUCAUUGAAAGAGUCUGCGAUCUCAGACUCAUAUGGAUCUAUGGAUCCCCAGCCCACGACCUCUGACCUUUACGACACACCCACAGAAGAGGCUGCAGUGAGAGGCGGAGCCAGAAAUCACCAAUCCUGAGCUGUGUGGGCGGAGAUUGACAGUGAUCAUUAGUGAUGAGUCAGUGAAUUGCUUUAUAGUCUUAUAGUGUUUAAUAUUUUCGGUGUCUGUGUUCAUGUUUCUCCUGUAAGUGAUCAGUUAGUGACGGUGCAAACCUUCACUCCACCAGCAGAGGUCUUCAUCUCCUGCUACUAAUAGAAAUGUUUAUGGGGUUUUAACUUGUGUUGUGCUCAAAGUUAUUUGAUUGUGUUUUCAUUUUUUAUCUGCAUAAUUUCUAACAUUUCAUAUUGUGAAUAACAUCAAUAUUCUGACUACUCAGUUUGUAAAGAGUGGUAGUGACUUAAACACCUCUCAUUUUCAUUUUUUAUUUCACUUUGUGGGUUUUACUUU
rnacentral:lncRNA from 1 species